rnacentral:rRNA from 1 species
CAGGGCAGUAAGUGGCAACGGGUGAGUAACACGUGGGUGACCUGCCUCAGAGUGGGGGAUAACGACCCGAAAGGGUCGCUAAUACCGCAUAACAUCCUGCGUUUGGAAACGCGGAGAUCAAAGCCGGGGAUCGCAAGACCUGGCGCUCAGAGAGGGGCCCGCGGCCGAUUAGCUAGUUGGUAGGGUAACGGCCUACCAAGGCAACGAUCGGUAUCCGGCCUGAGAGGGCGGACGGACACACUGGGACUGAGACACGGCCCAGACUCCUACGGGAGGCAGCAGUGGGGAAUUGUUCGCAAUGGGCGCAAGCCUGACGACGCAACGCCGCGUGGAGGAUGAAGAUCUUCGGGUCGUAAACUCCUUUCGAUCGGGAAGAACGCCUCCGGUGUGAACAACACCGGGGGGUGACGGUACCGAGAGAAGAAGCCCCGGCUAACUCCGUGCCAGCAGCCGCGGUAAUACGGGGGGGGCAAGCGUUGUUCGGAAUUACUGGGCGUAAAGGGCUCGUAGGCGGCCGACUAAGUCCGACGUGAAAUCCCCAGGCUUAACCUGGGAACUGCGUCGGAUACUGGUUGGCUUGAAUCCGGGAGAGGGAUGCGGAAUUCCAGGUGUAGCGGUGAAAUGCGUAGAUAUCUGGAGGAACACCGGUGGCGAAGGCGGCAUCCUGGACCGGCAUUGACGCUGAUGAGCGAAAGCCAGGGGAGCAAACGGGAUUAGAUACCCCGGUAGUCCUGGCCCUAAACGAUGAAUGCUUGGUGUGGCGGGUAUCGAUCCCUGCCGUGCCGAAGCUAACGCAUUAAGCAUUCCGCCUGGGGAGUA